GGGGGCUUAGUGUAGCGGUAACACACGCCAACCAGCAGAAGCAACCAGUACGGUGACGGCCUGGCCAGCUUGAGCUCGAGCUGAGAAUUAGCGUGCGGGGCGAGUCGGGGGUUCGAUUCCUCCAGUCUCCA